ensembl:lncRNA
UCCAAGGUUUGAGUUCGUUUCUCCAAUAGAAAACGGUGUGAUGAGUAGGGUGCCUCCAGGACACAGGGCCGUAGGACCUGUCUGCUAUUCUCUUCCUCUCCCAACCAAAUAUUCCACCUGGUGACUUUUUCCUGGCUCCUCCCCUUUCCUAGACCGCUUUCCCCACUGCCUCCCACUGUAACCUCCAACCCUAAAUGUCACCUCAGUGGGGCCUUCCCUGACCACACCCUCGGGAAAAUCCCCAGGCAUUGGGUAUCACCCCUUUUUAGCCCUCUGGCAAAAGCGCACAGCUCAGCCCACAGGGAAUCAUGGGGGCAGGAGGGAAGCUUCUUAAAGAAAAGGAGCUUAAAAAGUCAGUGGCCCUGGGGAAAAGGAGGUGAAGGUACGGCGGAGACCUGAUGGGAGGGUUAGGUGAUGCCAAGCUGUGAGGGCCCUCCUGCCUGGCUGCUGCCUCCCUUCCGGCUGGGCUGCUCGCACUAGACUGGAGCUGGGGGGCGUCAGGCCCUGUGGGAGUCGUGGGGGCGGCGCGCGCGGAGUGAGACGCUGCGCAGGGGGCCGUGGGGCCAGCGCUCACCUGGCGGGACCCGGGAAAGGAGGCGCGGGCGCGGCGCCAGGGCCCUUUCCCGCUGAGACCCAGGCCCAGCGCGCCUGCCGGGGAGGAACAGGCGGCCCGGAAGGGGUGCGGCCGGAGCUCGGGAUGCGGAGUCACUAGAGGGGGACAGAGGUUGGAGCCGACCCCAAGCGCCGUCCGCCGGCCAAACCCUUCUCCAGUCCGUGUCCUUGGGCUGCCGGUGCCGGGCGGGGUCACUGCCGGACUGAAAAGCCGACAGGGGCUUCGGUUUUUCCGCAGUGACAGGGAGCGAACACCUCGCUCUAGGCGGCAGGCCCGCGGGUCAGAAGCGAUGCAGUGGGUCGCAGGGGCCCUGCAACGCUGGACGAAGUGACGUGGACCCUGCCCCAGGCUGGAGGGCGGGCGGGGCGCCUUUCCAGCCCCCCUGGAGACCUACCCCCGGGCGCCCCUCCGAAGGCAAGGUCCAGCUUGACUGCGGAAGGCUGGGAGAAUCAAGGCAGGAGCCAUGCGGUGUGGGGGCGCGGAACUCGAGGAAAUGGUGGGGCGACCCUUGGCGGGAUCUGGUGCCGCAGGCGGAGCCCCGCGGAGGUGCCUGGGCCCUCCGGGCGGGGGACGGCCGCUCAAGGCAGAGGGGUGCCGGGUCCCAGCUGGACUGCGGGCGGCAGUCUCCCGGGCGCGCCUCUCCGGCCGAGCGCGGGGGUGGCGGGGGCGGGAGAGGCGCUUCCCUGACCAGGUUUGGGAGGUUAGGAUCGCGUGGAACGGACGGCCGCUGCUUGUCAGGGUCCGGUCAGUGUCCCUCCUCUCCCCGGCUCCCUUCGAAACCUUCUGGAAAAGUUAUCUGUCGUUCUCUUGUGCUCUGAAGUCCCGCCCUCCUGCUAGGCUCCCCACCAGCCGCUGCCUCUUGGUAGCAGCUAGCUCCCCCAAGGCUUGGGCGCCCUCUGCUCCUGGCGCAGGGCACCUCUUUGGCUCAGCCUGGGUCCCAGCGCCUGAACUUUGGGGGAGCUGGGGUAGCAUUUGCGGGGUCAAGUGCUGGACGUCGCGCGUGCCUUUCAUCGUGUAACCCUAACUCUCGAGCUGGGAUGGCGCUGCUCCUCCUCCGACCUUCGGUAAAACGGUGUCUCGGACGCCCCCUUCCGGUGAGGACCGCCUGGCGCAGCAGCCGCCUUGCGGGGUCUCGGGGUUCCAGCCGCUCUGUCGCGGGGGGAAAGCGUGUGCCUGGACUAGAGAAGGGCGUGCGGUGGCCUUGGCAGGCCCUGAUGCUCUGCCUGGCGCCCAGGAGCUACUGUGUGGCAGGCCCUGAGCUAGGGACAGAGGAGAGGACAGGAGAGGCGCGAAGCCUGAGCGCCCUGGAGGUCACGCCAGAGUUGGCAGGAUGGCAGCCUGUGCGCCCUGGCUAAAAGCGUGUCAGACUGCUCGUGACUAUAUAACAUCCAGCUGAAGACUAGCAGGGGGGUACUCUUUCUGCCCCCUUCUGAUGCCUAUGUCAGAGGCUUUCUCUAUCUCCUUUAUACUUUAAUAAAACUUUAUUACACAAAAGCUCUGAGUGAUCAAGCCUCGUCUCUGACCCCGGAUUGAAUUCUUCUCCUCUGGGGCCAAGAAUCCCGGCAUUGUGAUUCAACAACAACCUUUCAGAAGGAAAUGGCAACCCACUCCAGUAUUCUUGCCUGAAAUCCCAUGGACAGAGGAGCCUGGUGGGCACUCAAAGUCCUUGAGAUCACAAAGAGCUGGGCACGACUUAGUGACUAGACGACA